UAAACCAGGGUCUGUGGGCCUUGAGAAGAUGUCAGAACCACUAGACUACGCGGCUGUUCCCCUCCCUCUUCAUGUCCCAGGAGGCUGCAGACCCACAUCCGUCUUGGAGCCCAUGUUCCACACACCACCCAGGAGUGCUGAAAGGUAGCCCUCGCUCUUCCGGUCUCCACCAUCCUCUUCCCAGGGCCUCACACUGGAGAGGUGAGAAGUCAGUACCAAGUAGCCGGCCACUUUCUCCCCUCCAACCUGAGCCAGACUGUGCCUUGAAGAUGACUCUGUUUUGUCAACUGUACAAAAAAUCAGAAUCACAACAAUCUGAAGACCAGAAAUUCCUUCAGAAUCUCAACAAGUCCCCAUAUGCCAUCUGUCUCUCUGUCCAUCUCCAAAUCAACAUUUCCUUUGACUACACAAUUAGCCGGAAUAAAAUACUGUCUCUAUUUUGUAUUUAUUGUUUUACUCUGCUUUAAUUAGUUACUAAUACUCUGGGAGCAUUGAGACCUGUUCUUUUUCAUUGUGACACAGCAGUAUUUCAGCUAAAUUCACGAUUGUGUGCCGGCGUGGGAACCAAUCUACCAUUCCUAGGAAAACAGCUCACCUUCCAAAGAGCUGACUUCCAAAGUCCAGAACAUGAUCU
rnacentral:lncRNA from 1 species